rnacentral:rRNA from 1 species
UACGAAGGGGGCUAGCGUUGCUCGGAGUCACUGGGCGUAAAGCGCACGUAGGCGGAUUGUUAAGUCAGGGGUGAAAUCCUGGAGCUCAACUCCAGAACUGCCUUUGAUACUGGCGAUCUUGAGUCCGGGAGAGGUGAGUGGAACUCCGAGUGUAGAGGUGAAAUUCGUAGAUAUUCGGAAGAACACCAGUGGCGAAGGCGGCUCACUGGCCCGGUACUGACGCUGAUGUGCGAAAGCGUGGGGAGCAAACAGG